UUCACUCCAAAUAGCACGUAUCAGACCAAUCUGAAUAAGCUCUUAUCUUCUCUUUCCAACAACGCAAACAACUCUAUUGGCUUCUUCAACAUACCUUCAGGGCAGCAACCUGACGAUGUCUAUGGCUCAUUUCUCUGCCGUGGCGAUGUUAGCACCGAUGUUUGCCAAGAUUGUGUCACUUUCGCUACUCAGGACAUCGUCAAACGUUGCCCUAUCGAAAAGGUAGCCAUAGUAUGGUACGAUGAGUGUCUCCUGCGUUACGAAAAUCAGUCCUUCAUCUCCACCAUGGACCAAACACCCGGGCUAUACAUGUGGAAUACGCAGAAUAUAAGUACAUCGGACCAAGUUCGUUUCAACGCUCUAUUGGCUUCCACUAUGAAUAAUUUAGCUACUGAGGCAUCAACUGCUGCAUCAGGAGAAAAAAAGUUUGCUGUGAAAGAAGACAGUUUUACCUCGUUUCAGAAGCUGUACAGUCUUGUGCAGUGCACACCUGAUCUAUCCACCUCAGACUGUGGGCAGUGUCUACAAACAGCCAUCUCAAAUUUGCCCAGUUGCUGUGGUGGAAAGCAAGGAGGAAGAGUCUUGUAUCCAAGUUGCAAUAUUCGUUAUGAAGUGUAUCUAUUUUUUAAUGCUACUGCACUUGAGCCGCCGCCGCCAGCACCGUCGCCUGUGGUUCCUCUGCCUCCUCCUCCUACAGGUUUAGGAGCAAAACCACAAAUAGAAGGUAAAGUUGAUUUGCACUGUACUUAAGGUUAUUAAUUAUUAACAAAUGGCCGAAAGUGGUGGUUGACAUUUAUGAUUUAUUUCUUUGUCAUUAAAUAAUCUUUCCUCUUCCUGUGUGUAACGCAGCUGAGAAAUAUUUAUUUCAUACCCAAUUGUUAUUAGGAUCUAUGAGUAAAUUAUUGAAUUCUGACAUAAAUUCAGACAGUUCUUUUUCUUUAAUAAAAAAAAAAAAAAAUCUGCAUUCAUGUUUAAUUAAUUGUUAGUUUAUGCCAUGAACUAGAAUUCAUGAGGGGCUGAUAUAACACUUUUGUCGAUGUGUUUAUUAACUUAUGCAGGAAAAAGAGGCAUAUCAACUGUUACAAUUAUAGCGAUUGUUGCUCCAAUUGCUGUCGCUACUGUGCUUUUCAGUCUGGGCUGCUGUUACCUAAGGAGAAGAAAGAAGUAUGAGGCUGUGCAAGAAGAUGAUGGUAACAAUUUUCGAAAUUACCAACUAUAGUUACUUAUGAUAAAAUACCAUUGGUCUUGUUACUAUAUUAAUUCUUUUGCUUUUAUAGCAUGUGAAUUACUGUACAAAGCUUAAUAAACAUGUCCUUUGGUUAUAUAUGUAGCUAGAAAUGAAAUUACAACUGCGGAGUCCUUGCAAAUUGAUCUGAAUACUAUAGAAGUUGCUACAAAUAAGUUCUCUGCUGAUAACAAGCUGGGUGAAGGUGGAUUUGGUGAGGUCUACAAGGUCAGAAUUUAUAAAUCUAAAUCUUGAAAAUUAAUAAAUAUAUGCAAGUAAGUUACACGGUGGAAGUAAAUUUCUCAGGGUACUCUUCCUAAUGGGCAAGAAAUAGCUGUAAAGAAGCUAUCAAGAAGCUCUGGGCAGGGUGCAGAAGAGUUUAAGAAUGAGGUUGCAUUGUUAGCCAAGCUUCAACACAGAAAUCUAGUGAGGCUGCUAGGAUUUUGCUUGGAGGGUGCAGAAAAAAUACUAGUCUAUGAAUUCGUUCCCAACAAAAGCCUCGACUACUUCCUUUUCGGUUUGUAUCCUCUAAACAUAUGCCCAAUUUACCUUCACUUCACGACUACUGAUGGACAUUUUGUAGUUGUAUUGAAUUUGAAUUGCAUCCAGACUUGAAUGCUUUAUUUCAUGGAUUUUUGUAGACCCUGAAAAGCAAGCACAAUUAGAUUGGUCAAGACGUUAUAAAAUUAUUGGAGGAAUUGCCCGAGGAAUUGUUUAUCUUCACGAGGACUCUCGACUAAGAAUCAUACAUCGUGAUCUCAAAGCUAGUAAUAUUCUUUUAGAUAGAAAUAUGAAUUCAAAAAUUUCAGAUUUUGGUAUGGCCAGAAUUUUUGGAGUUGAUCAAACUCAAGGAAAUACAAGUAGAAUUGUUGGAACAUAGUAAGUUUGCAGUUUUAGUACUCUUUCUGCUUCAAAUGAUCAUAAGUUUGGUGAACUUUUUGAAGUUGAGCAAGUGCGAAACAAACUUUUAUGCCUAUAUUCUAAUUUAUUAUAUUAUGUUUAUGUUUUCCAGUGGAUAUAUGUCUCCAGAAUAUGCAAUGCAUGGCCAGUUCUCCGUCAAGUCUGAUAUGUACAGUUUUGGUAUCUUAGUUCUCGAAAUUAUAAGUGGAAAGAAAAACAGUUCUUUCUAUCAAAUAGAUGGCGUUGAUGAUCUUGUGAGCUAUGUGAGUAGAAUGUUUUCGUCUUUGUUAUUACUACUUUUAUCUUAAACUGCAUUAAUAUAUAAUAUUUUGCAGGUAUGGAAACACUGGAGAGAUGGAACCCCUAUUGACGUGUUGGAUCCAGUUCUAAAAGAUUCAUAUUCAAGAAAUGAAGUGUUAAGAUGCAUCCAAAUAGGCUUACUAUGUGUUCAAGAAGAUCCAACUGACAGACCCACAAUGGCAACAGUAGCGCUUAUGCUCAAUAGUUUUUCUGUUACUCUACCGGUACCUCAACGACCAGCAUUCUUUCUGCACAGCAGAUCGGAACCAACCAUGCCAAUGAAGGGAUUGGAGUCCGAUAAGUCUACUACAAAGUCAAUCCAAUGGUCUGUUGAUGAAGAAUCAAUUACUGAAGUAUAUCCUCGAUAGAGAAUUUAAUAAAUUGUUCUUGAAGAUAUAUUAGAAAGAAUGGAUAUCUAAGUUUCGUCACUAGUGUUGGUUCAAUGCACAAUAAAGAAUAAGCUUACUCAUUGAUCAGACUUGGUGGCGCGUGUCUUUCCCUUGAAAUUUUACAGUCUAGGUAUUCUACUCAAAAGGGAAAAAAUGUGGUUACAUUAUGAUGUGAGAAUUUGUAUGAUUUGUUUUUAACUAAGCUGGAUAAACAGGGUAUUGCUACUGCAUGAACAAAUACCACAAUAAGUAGCACCAAAGAUAAAAAUGUAAGACCCAGUUUUUAAAAGUAUAAUAAAAGUUUCUGAGAGAUGAGCCAUAUUGUAGACCUUGAAAAUUUUCUACUUUUGCUCUCAAGGUAAAUGGUAGCAUCUAAGAGAUUCUAAUGCAAAUGAGACUUAUCAGCGCAUGACUUUUGCCCAUUUACUGCACCAAGAAACCGUUGCAAUGGGAAAGAUGGUAUUUUGAAUUAUAAGCCAGGUCAUGGAAAUAUCAUUGAUCCUUUGUGGAACAAUCGCUCAACCACUAAGUAAUUAGUCAAAAACUCUUGCUUCUAGUAUUAAAAACAUGGAAUGAGAAUACAUUUGUUGUUCCAUGAUAGAAUUGAAACAGGAUAUAUGAAAAUCUUACCACAUGUACCUAAUGUUCACAUAUUUCAUAAAUUGAAUUCUGGAAAGAAGUCUCUGUUUGACUUGUUUCAUUACCUUUGUAUUUUGUUGAUUUAGUCCAUGUCUCAGGCAGCACUAAAAUGCGGCCAACUCAAAAGUGAAAACAGAGAAAGACUCAACACCCAGUCUAAAAAUUGCUCAAGGGUAAAUUUACUCCUAGCUACAAACUUCAGGGGCAAAAAUGUACCUAUAGUUUUUAAAAUCAAUGAACUUGCGUGGAAAUUGGACUGAGAUACGCUCGAACGUCUUCUCUUAGAACAGAGACAAAUAAAUUUGGCCUUGACUUGGUAUAUUCACAUAACACGACGAGUCUUCAAUACUCGUGCCUACACAGUGUGUCUGUGUCAUCAUCAAUUUCAGACCCAAACCGAGAAGAAAGUGGUGUAAAAAGAAAAGAGCUUAAGUUGUCAUUCUGCAAAAAGCAAACGGGAAACAGAAGUGUUUACAUUUUUCUUUUCUUUUUUCUCUUUGAAAAUAAUAAUAAUUUGGCCCAAUUCACAGUAGGAGCAAAAGAAUUUGAUCUACCAAAUGAAAUGAGCUCAGUUAUUAGAUUCCCUAUAAUUCUGCUCUUCUUGUUACGCCUUGCAAUUAUCGUCAAAGCAGAGUCUCCAGAGUAUCGUUAUCAUUUCUGCUCCAACACAACCACUUUCACUCCAAAUAGCACAUACCAGACCAAUCUAAACCAAGUCUUGUCUUCUCUUUCCAACAACGCGAACAACUCUAUUGGCUUCUUCAACAUACCUUCAGGGCAGCAACCUGACGAUGUCUAUGGCUCAUUUCUCUGCCGUGGCGAUGUUAGCACCGAUGUUUGCCAAGAUUGUGUCACUUUCGCUACUCAGGACAUCGUCAAACGUUGCCCUAUCG
rnacentral:lncRNA from 1 species